CCAGUAGGUAUUUCCGGUUCCGCUGGUGGGGUCUCCCCGGUGAGCUCCAGGCCUGCUGACCCUGAGAGAUGUGAUGUUUCCUAGAAGGAAAGAGCGAACACAGGAAGACUCCGAGACUCGAAAGACAGUCGGAAAGAGAUCUUCCUGUAAAGGCUGCUUUUGCAACCUUGUGAACUUUCUUCCUAGGUAAGUCAGGAAAGUUAUGGUUCGUGGCUUUAGUGAAGAACCGGUCCUUUCUAAUAAAGAAUCCAUUUGUUUCUUGAUUUUCAUCCUUCGUGGUGGGCACUCAGAGUUGCCACUUUGGAGAGGAGCUUCAUUCAUCCUGUGUGCCGUAAAGGCCUUAGUCUCUUUCCUCCACCACCACAUUCUUCCACCAUGAUGUUCUGCCUCACCUUGAGCCCUGAGGAAUGGAGCCAGCCUUCUAUGGACUGAGACCUCUGAAACCAUGAGCCCUCAACUUAUGGUGGAUUUUUUUCAGGACAUAAUCCCAUUGUGAGUUGAAAACAUCUGUAAUCAAAAAGUGUACAGGUGGGGCUGGGGUUGUGGGUCAGUGGUAGAGCACUUGCCUAGCAUGUGUGAGGCACUGGGUUCAA